rnacentral:lncRNA from 1 species
AGGUGCCAAGAGGGCAGGCCUUCGCCAGGCCCUGCACUUGAAGAGGCUGGGGAGGCCAGCCUGGCUGUAGGCUCCCCUCAGCCGGCCAGGUGUGCCCAUCCCUGAACUCUCCUGCCAUUGGCCUGUGCCAGAGCUGGGACCCCAUCCAGAUGAAGCCCUGAUUUGGACAUGAGGAAAAGGAUCUCAUUUUUAGUAACAGCACUGCAGAUAACAUGACGGUGUAGCCAUGUGGAUUCAGACUUAGAGAUGGUCACAGGUGAGCAGCAGUCAGCCAGAGCCUAAGAUGCUGGGGGUGGUUUUUGG